rnacentral:rRNA from 1 species
AACGAACGCUUGCGGCAGGCUUAACACAUGCAAGUCGAGCGCCCCGCAAGGGGAGCGGCAGACGGGUGAGUAACGCGUGGGAAUCUACCCAUCUCUACGGGAUAACGCAUGGAAACGUGUGCUAAUACCGUAUACGUCCUUCGGGAGAAAGAUUUAUCGGAGAUGGAUGAGCCCGCGUUGGAUUAGCUAGUUGGUGGGGUAAAGGCCUACCAAGGCGACGAUCCAUAGCUGGUCUGAGAGAAUGAUCAGCCACACUGGGACUGAGACACGCCCCAGACUCCUAUGGGAGGAAGCAGUGGGGAAAAUUGGACAAUGGGCGCAAGCCUGAUCCAGCCAUGCCGCGUGAGAGAUGAAGGCCCUAGGGUUGUAAAGCUGUUUCACCGGUGAAGAUACUGACGGUAGCCGAAGAAGAAGCCCCGGCUAAGUGCGUGCCAGCCACCGCAGUAAUAC